AUUGAACGCUGGCGGCAGGCCUAACACAUGCAAGUCGAGCGGAGCGGCGGACGGGUGGGUAAUGCCUAGGAAUCUGCAUGGUAGUGGGGGAUAACGUACGGAAACGGGCGCUAAUACCGCAUACUAUCAGAUGAGCCUAGGUCGGAUUAGCUAGUUGGUAGGGUAAAGGCCUACCAAGGCGACGACCCGUAACUGGUCUGAGAGGAUGAUCAGUCACACUGUAACUGAGACACGGUCCAGGCUCCUACGGGAGGCAGCAGUGGGGGAGAAUGGACAAUAGGGGAAAGCCAGAUACUGCCGUGCCGCGUGGGUGAAGAAGGUCUUCGGAUUGUAAAGCAAUUAAAGUUGGGAGGCGUUACCAACAGAAUAAGCACCGCAUAACUUCGUGCCAGCCGCCGCGGUAAUUC
rnacentral:rRNA from 1 species